rnacentral:rRNA from 1 species
AGUGAACGCUGGCGGUAGGCCUAACACAUGCAAGUCGAACGGCAGCACAGUAAGAGCUUGCUCUUACGGGUGGCGAGUGGCGGACGGGUGAGGAAUACAUCGGAAUCUACUUUUUCGUGGGGGAUAACGUAGGUAAACUUACGCUAAUACCGCAUACGACCUACGGGUGAAAGCAUGGGAUCUUCGGACCUUGCGCGAUUGAAUGAGCCGAUGUCGGAUUAGCUAGUUGGCGGGGUAAAGGCCCACCAAGGCGACGAUCCGUAGCUGGUCUGAGAGGAUGAUCAGCCACACUGGAACUGAGACACGGUCCAGACUCCUACGGGAGGCAGCAGUGGGGAAUAUUGGACAAUGGGCGGAAGCCUGAUCCAGCCAUACCGAGUGGGUGAAGAAGGCCUUCGGGUUGUAAAGCCCUUUUGUUGGGAAAGAAAAGCAGCAGGUUAAUACCCCGCUGUUCUGACGGUACCCAAAGAAUAAGCACCGGCUAACUUCGUG